UUCCUCAAAAUCAUCUGUGUCACAUCAAAUCAGAUUUACUAAGGUGGGAUUAACAGCAGUGCUGAUCUGACAGUAGUGAUUUUGUUGUGCACCUGGCUGUUAUGUUUCUUCAAGUAGCUAUUUUCUUUUCCAAUCACUUACUUUGAGACAUAUCCAAACUGAAAAAAGAUGUGAGUGCUCUUAGAGAACAUUGUAUCAUUUGUCCUUUUAACACCAUUUAUUACACUAAACUGUCAUCAACAAUGGCAAUAUUAGAUAUGUUCUGAACAGAAAGAAACGUCAGUAUUAACUUCAAGUGGGCGUGUUUACAAGUCUUAAAGGUGUUUUUUUUUCCAUUCGGAGAUGUUGCAUAUGUAGUGAUCUAAUAAAACAAUGUACUAUAUACAUUGAUGGGUGUGUAUGGGUGGUUUUCUUUGUUUUGUAAUUGUUACAUUAUUUUAAUCAUUGCGAUUUCAACCCAUGUGCUAAAUGAUUUGCAAAUGAAGCUUUGAAAAAGUUUCAACAUACAUCAGAAAAAUGUUCCAAUUAUUAAAGUAGUCUCUCAAUUUGUUUAACCACAGGAAGCUUGUCAUAACUGUCACGGGAAUUUGGUUCACUUUGCAAUAACUAGACACCUGCUUUCCAUUGCACGCUCACUGUUGUCCCAUAACCUGCGAAGACUCAACACGUACUGCACAAUGCAACUUAUAGGGCAGAUCACUUAAUAAACAAAGGCGUGUGUUUGACGGUUUCAGCUUCUAAUCCGAGAUCAGAAUCCUGGAAUACGAACUACUGAAUCUUUGAAAUUCUUAACUGCACAGUAAACAUGCAUCCCGAUGCUUUCAUUGCGAAUGACAACGCGCGCAUUCAGUCGGGAUCCACGUCCGCUGAAACAACCAACGCGUGCAUCUUAACGCCCAGGUGAAUCGGAAAACCGUCCACUGUAUCUGCAUAUCGGGAUGUGUCUGGAAGCUUUAAGGCAAAUAUAAGAAUCGGGAGAAGGAACAGGAGUUAACAGCCCGACAAAGACACACAGCCCAAUGCCCAAGAGGCAGCCAGCAGACGGCGAUGACAGCACCUGAGCGCAGGAUGCAAAAUGCAAUGUACGUGGAUGCCAUUCUGUCCCUCUCCGAGGUCAUAUUAAAGAGCGACGUAUAGAACUUUACCUUUCCGCUUGGACCGCCUCCUCCUCCUCCUUUUGAACUUGCCUCUGAGUUGGCUGUUUGGAGCCCGAGUGUUGUUCCCAAGGACCGAUGCCAUAUCAAUGUAGCCGUGACAAGGUGGAACAAAGCGCGCCUUCUUUCUUCUCGUAUGUCCUGAUGCCUUCUUUUACUUUGUUGCCCGACUUACUCUUCACAAUGUAAUUCUCCGUUCCUUUGCCUUGCGCUCGUCCUCCACUUUGAACAACUCUUCUCUCAGUGCUGUACUGCUGCUAAACUCACAAGCGUGAAGUCGAUCCAAGCAUUGCAGCGCUGAUACGGCUCACACGAAAGUCUCGCAGGGCUGUAAAUGCGCUGCUCUAGUUUCUGCACCUCUGCUUUUUUUUCUUUUUUUUUUUUCUUUUUUUUUUUUGGCACCAGCCACUUUGAAGCCAAUCAUGCAGGAAGCCCAUCUAUUUGGUGCCGUAAAUUCUAAUUAGAUCCAAUCAUGGCUGUCUCUAGACUCUGACAUCAGCACCACUCCCACCUCCCUCCUACAGUCCAUCCCUGUCAGCUUGCAAACUCAGCUCCUCUUUACACUGAAUGAUGUCUGAGUUGUUAGAGGGAAAUGUGACGGCACUUGUGGAUACACGCGGGAUCGAGGAGCUUUGACGCAGUCAUUGCGUUGUAGACACCUAGCUUACACAUCAGUUUCGAAAACAAAUGGCUUAUCCCUUUAUAAGAUUUAUUCCUGUAAAAAGUGCUGCCACCGCUGUGUUGUGUCCCUCAUCCUGGAUCUCGUGUUUACCUCGGGAACUCAGGGUGUCCGUCCGCACAAAAGUUAAACUAUCCCACAUCCGCUAGGCAUAAGAUCACGCACACUCGUGGCUUUUUUUUAUCGUGGCAGCCACAUUAUCACUUUGUGCAUGUUUUAUCUAAUGGACAAGAUGCUGGAUUGGAUCAAUUAAACCGACGACGUAACAGCACCUUUCCUUCUGGAAAAGUACAAUAAUGUUUAGCUUUAUCCAAAAGAUGAAAGCCGUUUCGUCAUUCCAACAACUGAAGGUCGAGUUUAUGGCAGUCUAAAGCAUCAAGGAUUUUUGUUGCACGUGCAUUGUGAUCUAAUCAUGGAGACAAACUUGGAUCAUCCAUAGCGAUGGAAAUGUAUGAUUUUUUUGGAAGUCUGGAUGAGUGCAUUCGAGAUUCAUUACCGCAUUAAUAUUUUCACAGUUUAUAAACCUCUAAAUAAGAAGUUAUGUAUGGUUGGUGAGCACUCCAUUCCUGCAGUCCUUUUCUUAUUAAGGCUCGAUGAAUUUGUAACAUGUUAUCAAGUGAUGCCUGACUGCUGACACACAAGAUUUUACUAGAACAUUAAGAACUCUGAUAACCAGGAAGUCUUUGAACCAGGAAGUCUUUGAACUAAUCUUUAUACCUUUAAACUCAUGGCAUCACAGAAAACAAUAAAGAUACUCUGCUUUACAAUGUGUGUGCAAUCUCCCAACACUGAUCAAUAUUCGAGAAUGUUCUGGGCUUGAAAAUUAGGC